AUCUUCCGCAAUGGACGAAGGUCUGACGGAGCAACGCCGCGUGAGUGAUGAAGGGUUUCGGCUCGUACAACUCUGUGGCUUAGGAAGAACAGUUGAGGUAGUAACUGGCCUUGAGAUGACGGUACUUAACCAGUAAGCCUCGGCUAACUACGUUCAAGCAGCCGCGGUAAUACGUAGGUGGCAAGCGUUAUCCGGAAUUAUUGGGCGUAAAGCGCGCGUAGGCGGUAAAAUAAGUCUAAUGAGAACGCCCCCGGCUCAACCGAGGAGGGGCAUUGGAAACUGUUUUACUUGAGUACAGAAGAGGAGAGUGAAAUUCCAUGUGUAGCGGUGAAAUGCGCAGAGAUAUAGAGGAACCCCAGUGGCGAAGGCGGCUCUCUGGUCUGUUACUGACGCUGAGGUGCGAAAGCGUGGGGAUCAAAC
rnacentral:rRNA from 1 species